rnacentral:rRNA from 1 species
UACGAAGGGGGCUAGCGUUGCUCGGAAUCACUGGGCGUAAAGCGCACGUAGGCGGCUUUUUAAGUCAGGGGUGAAAUCCUGGAGCUCAACUCCAGAACUGCCUUUGAUACUGAGGAUCUCGAGUCCGGGAGAGGUGAGUGGAACUGCGAGUGUAGAGGUGAAAUUCGUAGAUAUUCGCAAGAACACCAGUGGCGAAGGCGGCUCAACUGGCCCGGUACUGACGCUGAGGUGCGGAAAGCGUGGGGAGCAAACAGGG